rnacentral:pre_miRNA from 9 species
AACCGCACGCGAUAAUAGUAUUAUCCCGUGCGCUUGUCUUAAGCGGACCACACGGGAUAAUCUAUUAUCCUGUGCGGCC